UGAGAAAGAACGCAACCUAUUUCUCGUAUGUAACGUCAGCUGUCAGGUCCCUGCGUGGAAGGGCAGCCAACCUUUUAAAUCUGGGUUGCCAAACUUCGUAAAGUGUCCAACUUCGGAAUAAUUUCCACGAAGCAAAAUUGAUAAAACUAAUUGCAGCAAGACAUUGAGCCUCUUUCCGUUCUAGACUAUUCAGAUAAUAGUAGUGCGCGUCGUGUAUCUCAAACAGUAGUGUAAAUGUUAAAAAUUUAACAAUAAGUAAGGUGUAUAAUAGUGUUAUGUGUUUUCUCUUUUAGAUUCUAUAAAAUACUGAAAAAGUUAAGCCUAAUAGUACGGAAAGUUUAAAUUAGUACGGUUGUUCGUAGAAAGUACGCUUCACAAUAGACCCAUAAAAAACGGGAAUUGUAAAGAACAAAUAGAACAGUAUAAAGAAAAGGUCCAGAUCUGGGCCUUUUCUUUCCGUUUUUCCUUCGGUUUGAAAUCCCGGAGGUAUUCUUCUCUGUAUCCACAGUUUCCUGGACCAGCCAAGCCGUAAAGAGAGUGAGCAAAUACCGUGCGGUAGUGGAAC